GGCAAAACUCUGCACGAUUCAACUUCGAAAAAAUAUACAACUCGUGAAAAUGAGAAUUAUAGCAUACUCAAAAGAUUUUUUGAAGAAGCUAAAAGCUUUUAUCUUAAUUACAUGGUUCUUUCUGUGUUUCUAUCCCUGCCCCCACAAAAGGGGGAAGGGGGAAGGGGGAGAGGAAGAAAGAAAAAAAGAAAGAGAUCAACGGAGAAAAACAAACAAGAGAUUGCAGGUGCACAAAUCCAACAAAACGUGUACACAGAGACAUCUGAAUGACAUGGCAAGCGUAACUAGUCAAUUGGUACUUCAACCUCCAUCUUCAAACCAGGGUGGUCCAUGAUCUUAAUGAAGUCAUUCAACUGCAGUAAGGAGUCCCUUGUAUAACCAGCCUCGUGCAAAACCUGGCUUAACACUUCCUCUCUUUGCUUGUCAGAAAUGAAUGAUCCAGUUAAAUCCCGAAGCACUUCCAUUAUGUCAUCAAAAGUCACCUUCCCAUUGCAAUCAGAAUCGUACACUUUGAAGAUAAGUUCAAUUUUCUGUGCCACACUGGCCUUAGCACUGAAAGUUGAUAAAAAUGCCACAAAGUCCUUGAAGUUCAAGCCAUCCACCAUCUUAAGCAAUCUCUGAGAAAGUGGAUUCAUUGCGAAUUCUGGCACAGAGAGAAACUCAUCAGCUGAUAUAAAACCCUUUGAAUUCCGAUCAAGUUGGCAGAACCUCUGAUACAGUGACACUAUUUCCUGCUGUGCAAAGAGAUGGUCGCAGUGGUCUUGAACAUCCUCAAUAUCAUAUUGAGUCAACAUCGAAGAAGCAUUACCCAUGGUCAAAUCUCAGCAGCAAAACUCAAGUUCCCAAGAGAGAUGGGCGCACGAUAAAGGCAACCAAGACGAGGGGGAAGAACAAAUUUUAUAGUAGCGGAGUGUGUGAAUCUAGCUCUAGGAUUGAGCAAACUAUGUCAUCAACAAGAAACUAGUUUGGCUGUACUCUACUGCGUGACGGGGAAUUUGAUGUCUG
rnacentral:misc_RNA from 1 species